AUUGAACGCUGGCGGCAGGCCUAACACAUGCAAGUCGAGCGGAUGAGUGGAGCUUGCUCCAUGAUUCAGCGGCGGACGGGUGAGUAAUGCCUAGGAAUCUGCCUGGUAGUGGGGACAACGUUUCGAAAGGAACGCUAAUACCGCAUACGUCCUACGGGAGAAAGUGGGGGAUCUUCGGACCUCACGCUAUCAGAUGAGCCUAGGUCGGAUUAGCUAGUUGGUGAGGUAAAGGCUCACCAAGGCGACGAUCCGUAACUGGUCUGAGAGGAUGAUCAGUCACACUGGAACUGAGACACGGUCCAGACUCCUACGGGAGGCAGCAGUGGGGAAUAUUGGACAAUGGGCGAAAGCCUGAUCCAGCCAUGCCGCGUGUGUGAAGAAGGUCUUCGGAUUGCAAAGCACUUUAAGUUGGGAGGAAGGGCAGUAAGUUAAUACCUUGCUGUUUUGACGUUACCAACAGAAUAAGCACCGGCUAACUUCGUGCCAGCCGCCGCAGUAAGAC
rnacentral:rRNA from 1 species